rnacentral:rRNA from 1 species
CCCUUAGAUGUUCUGGGCCGCACGCGCGCUACAAUGAUGAAUUCAACGAGUUUAUAACCUUGGUUGAAAAGCCUGGGUAAUCUUUUGAACUUUCGUCGUGAUGGGGCUAGACCCUUGCAAUUAUUGGUCUCCAACGAGGAAUUCCUAGUAAACGCAAGUCAUCAGCCUGCAUUGAUUACGUCCCUGCCCUUUGCACACACCGCCCGUCGCUCCUACCGAUUGAAUGAUCCGAUGAAUAUCAUGGAUUGAGGAUGUAAGCAGGUUCGCCUGUCUUCAUCUUCGAGAAGUGAAGUAAAUCUUAUCAUUUAGAGGAAGGAGAAGUCGUAACA